rnacentral:tRNA from 1 species
GGCGCCGUGGCCGAGAGGUUAGGCAGAGGCCUGCAAAGCCUCGUACAGCGGUUCGAGUCCGCUCGGCGCCUCUA